CCUAGGGGCACGAACCGGAUUAGAUACCCGGGUAGUCCUAGGUGUAAACGCUGUGGACUUGAUGUUGGGGGUGCUCCGAGCACUCUCAGUGUCGAAGCGAAGGUGAUAAGUCCACUGCCUGGGAAGUACGGUCGCAAGGCUGAAACUUAAAGGAAUUGGCGGGGGAGCACCGCAACCUGAGGAUUGUGCGGUUUAAUUGGAUUCAACGCCGGAAAACUCACCAUAGCCGACGGACAAAUGAAGGUCAGUGUAAUGAACUUACCGGAUUGUUCGAGAGGUAGUGCAUGGCCGCCGUCAGUUCGUACCGCAAGGCGUUCUGUUAAGUCAGAUAACGAACGAGACCCUCAUCUCUAUUUGCUAACUGAAUCUCCGGAUUCAGUGCACUAUAGGGAGACCGCUGGCGCUAAGUCAGAGGAAGGGGAGGGCAACGGUAGGUCAGUAUGCUCCGAAUGCUAUGGGCUACACGCGCAAUACAAAGGACGGGACAAUGGGCUGCUGCUCCGAAAGGAACGAUAGCUAUCCCGAAACCCGUUCGUAGUUCGGAUUGAGGGCUGUAACUCGCCCUCAUGAAGCUGGAUUAGGUAGUAAUCGCGUCUCAAAAAGGCGCGGUGAAUAUGCCCCUGCUCCUUGCACACACCGCCCGUCAAACCAUCUUAGUUGUGGGUGGGUGAGGCUACCUCUUAAUGUGGUAUUCGAGCCUGCCUUCGACAAGGAGGGUUAAGUCGUAACAAGGUAUCUGUAGGU
rnacentral:rRNA from 1 species